AAUAAAACACUAAUCUUGGCACGUCGCCUCCAGCAGGAAGUGAUCCGCUCAGCAGGCACUGCUCUCGUUAGCUACCAGGUUCAUUUGACGGGGAAAGAAAAGUGAGCUAGAAACAGCAGAAAAUGACAAACUGUCCCCACAGUCUGUGCGGUCAGGGAGAUAGCGACCUUAGAGAGUUGAUACCCAGGCUUAUGUACACGCUGCAGUUUGGAAAGCAACAUCUGGACUUCAGGCCAGAUUUGGGGAGUACAUGACUUGCAGUUGUCCUGUGGACAGAUUCUCCCACCUGAGCUGCUGAUUUCUGCAGCUUCUUCAGAGUGACCAUGGGCCUCUUGGAAGCCUCUCUGACCAGCAUGACCAUGUCUUGGUACUCUGGAUUCUUCUGAUACUCACUUAAAAGUGUCCCUGGUGUCCAACAAUCGACAUCUGGAGUUUCGCUCUGAAUCCUGACCUCUUCCUUGUGUUUCUGUGACUCAUGGGGCCAUAAAUUGGUCACCAUGGCAACCAGCUGGAGGAUUGAAAAUCCCCCGUCUGACUUUCUGAGGUCAGCCGUCACUUGUUCACCAUCACUCUGCUCUGCAGCUGGUCUCCUUUUCCACAGUGCAGUGACACAGUGUUGAAGAGGAAAGUCAGAGGACCAACGAUCCCAGAUGUUACAGCUGCUGUUACAAGGACUGUGAUCCAUGUCCUAUCAGAGGACUCUGAUGGCUGUGAGGACAAGAAGACAGGAACCAGGCAUGUUAGGAAACGUGUCAUAAUUAAAAAUGUCCCCUUACACACAAACACAAACAGACAAUGAGCUCCACCCGUGAAGUGAACUGACUGUGCAAGGCGUCAAAUUCAGGUGUUGGUGGAAAGCCUGCGUGCUGUGACAUCACCACACUGUUCUCCACUCAAACACCGACCCACUGCUCCGAAACACUGACUGCAGAUCUGGCAGAUUGGCGCCAGAUUGAGAUGCGCCAAACGCGCCAAUAACGAGCCAUCAAAGUUUGCUGUUCAGUGUGUAGCUAUUUAAAUGUGGUCGGUGUACUCACCGUCGGUGUGGUUGUAGGCAGAGGUGUGCUACCGGGUGCUGUGGGGACUUGAGGGUGGACUCGCAGGCGGACAGCAGAGCGGUGUCUCUCCCACUUGUCUAUGUCACAGUAAUAAACUCCUUCAUCUUGUUGCUGGACUCUCUUUAUGGUGAGGGACAGGUCUGCUUGUCGGUCCCACUCUGAUGGUAUCGACACCCGGCUUCUGUCAACGUCUUCCCCGUAUGUGAUUCCUCCUGUUUUAGCAUCCAGCUGAAGCACCACCUUUCCAUUUCUCCUCCAGCGCGCAGAUUUCACCGACUGGCCCGCGGUGACGGAGCGGCACGGGAGUGUGGCAUCCUCGCCCUCGGAUACAGCAACUUCAGAGGGGGCAAAUACUUCCAGCUUGAUCGCUUCCAAGUCUUUGCCGUUGCAUGUAAACUCGUACAGCCCUUCGUCGUUCAGAUCUGCGUUUUCCAGGAUGAGAGAGAGCCCUCUUUGAUUCACGCGGUCUGGAUGUUGUGGUCCGGGUUUCCAGACGUUUUCCAGGGAGGCGAUCAGCUGCGUGCUGGCAUCAUUCCUUCGCAGAUUUAGUCUCCCGCGUCCCUUCAGGCACUCCUCUGACAGCAGAAACUCAACUCCAUCUCCUAAAGGAGCUUGAAUCAACUUUCCGAAAACCUCGCUACAUAAAAAUAGAAGAAUGCACAAAAAGCUCAGAGUCUUCAUCCUGUGAAUGAGGCGGUAGAGUGUCUUUCCUCCACAGCGGCGCACUGGCUUUUAAAUGGAAGAGAGUGAGUAAGAGUCGAUCACGUGAUGAUCGGAGAACUGGAGAUUCCGGACGUUCCUUUGCAACUUUUUUUUUUGCAACUUCAAUCCUCAUCAUAUCACACGCAUAGCAAGGACAGUAAUAGUAAUGACAGUAUUACAGUCUAUAUUACUAUUGUGAUUAUAAUAAAGCAUUUAAUAUUAUUAAAACGUCUAUGUGACAUUAAUAAUAGCAGUAAUAAUAAUAACAACAGCAGCAAUAAUAAUAAUAGAGACUGUAAUAAUGCAGACAUAAUGGUGACUGUUAUAGACUGUAAAUACAUUGUUGUUUUUCUCACGCUCUGUCAUGCCGUAGACUCUUCUUUUAUUCAAAUCUGUCUUCUUUUGUUUUCUGUAUUGUACUGUUAUAUUAUCAUUUUAAUUGUAGACUACAGCGCUUUUGUCAACACUUGUUGUUUUUAAAUGUGCUAAUAAAUAAACGGACUUAACAGUGACAUUCAGCUGCGUUUUAAUUUGAUUCAGUUUAUUGUUUUUAUUCGCGGUAAUAAACAUUAUAGUAGAAACAGGUCGUUAAGCAGGAAGUGAAGUUCUGCCUGCGUUUAGCUAGUUUUUGGAUUGGACGUUAAAAGCAAGGGAGACACAGAAAGAGGGAAAAAUGCUAAAAUAUCCGCACAGUACGUGCGCUAAACCGGCUAAAGACACGAGGACGUCACUGAGCAGUCUUUUACACAUCCCGGAUACUCCUGCAUGACUUCAGUGCGAUGGAGAGCUGCUCCUUACUGAACCCGACCCUGCAGAGCACUGAGGGCGUCCUGUCCAGCUUCAGGACCACCUGGCAGGAGUUUGUGGAGGACGAUGACUUCUGGAGGGUCCUGCUGCUGAUGGUGGUCAUCGCCCUCCUCUCCCUGGGCCUCGCCUACUACGUCAGCAGAGUCCUGCCUUUCUCAGGGUGGAGAGGAGGCAGCAAAAUAAAUGAAGGUCUUUGUGUAGAACAAAAACUCUGGUAUUUAUUUGUUGUGCAAAUCUGAUCAUUUUAUUGGAAUAUGAACAACAUCAUGUGAUGCUGCCAGUGCAAAGAAGAGAGAACGGUGACUCAGAGACACCGACAGCUUCAUGUGUGGCCUAACACCUUUACAACCACGCACUGAUAAAGUCACUUUUACAUCCCUGUUUGCUCUGUUACAAGCUGUAUAUUGCUGAUGUUUUGUAUCUUUUCAUUGUUUUCUCCUCACUUGUUAUUUAUUCAAAUGUUCUUUUAGAAUGAAUUUUUCCCUCUCUGUCUUUAUUUCACACAAAUACCUGCAGCCUUUCUGACUGGAAACAGUUUUGUCAGGAUAUCUUGAUGUUCUCUGUUCAAAGGUUUUCAGUAUUUAUUCCAUCAAACAUUUGAAGUCAUUUAAUGUGCAAAAUGAAUAAAAUCAUGAAUGACUGUAA